rnacentral:sRNA from 1 species
ACAACAAAAACAAUAAAUGCGCAGCAAACCAAUAAGAACAAGACGUAACGGCUCUGACAUAACAAGAACAACACGGACAGAGACGCAGCUAACAGAUUUUUUUGGAGUGGAUCAGCUUUACAGGGACUUCGGCUCACGAGGCUCCGCAACCGGACAGAGAACAAUAAAACUGCCUCAAGGUAGCUCCAGAACCGGUUGGACCCCGACGUUGUGCAGACAGAGGGUUAAAGUGAAUCAGCGCUCAAAAAAAUACGUUUGCUCUUGAUCCCGGAUGGGGAUCGCACAAGAACGCAGUAAAGGGACAGGUCGCCAAAAACAACAACAGGCCGCCCUAUAACAAUAAAAAGAGCACGCAAAACACAUUAGAAGGAGAGCUCCGGCUCUCCUUUGUGCUGUCUGGCGUUCAGGUUUUAUUUCCAGC